rnacentral:misc_RNA from 1 species
GUUCACUCAGAAAUGUGAUGUGUACUCUUUUGGUAUCAUCCUGAUGGAACUUUUAACUGGUAGGCUACCUGAUGCAGGACCAGAAAAUGAUGGGAAAGGACUAGAAAGUCUCACGAGGAAGGUUUUUCAAGAAGAACGCCCGCUGUCUGAGAUUGUAGAUCCAGCAUUAUUGAGUGAGGUUUAUGCAAAGAAACAGGUUAUUUCAGUGUUUCAUAUUGCACUCAAUUGCACUGAGUUAGAUCCUGAGGUUCGUCCUAGGAUGAAAACCGUCUCUGAGAGUCUCGAUCGCAUCAAAUUGUAAUGAAAAAGAUGGCUCUUGUAAAGUUUUGUUUGCAGUAGCCGACUUCUGGUGCUGAAGUUGUUUUAGCUUCAAACUCAUAGUGUAAGUUUGUUUGUUGGGAUGCAUAUGCAAGUUCCAAUCAUUUAGUCCCUGUGGGGACUUCUCAGGGACUAUCUGUUUGUUCUGUUAAAUAGACUAAGAGCCUAUUUGAUAUUGCUAUUGAAAACUGUUAUUGAGAACAUUUGAUGUGUUCCGG